rnacentral:rRNA from 1 species
UACAGAGGCCACGAGCGUUAGUCGGAAUCACUGGGCGUAAAGGGUGCGCAGGCGGCCAAGUGUGUGAGGCGUGAAAGCCCGGGGCUUAACCCCGGAAUUGCACCUCAAACUACAUGGCUAGAGCAUUGGAGAGGGUAGCAGAAUUCAUGGUGUAGCAGUGAAAUGCGUAGAUAUCAUGAGGAAUACCAGAGGCGAAGGCGGCUACCUGGACAAUUGCUGACGCUCAGGCACGAAAGCGUGGGGAGCAAAAGGG